GGGACACUUUGUCAUCCAGCACAGUUAUAGUCUUCUCUGCCAAGAUGGAGUCGGACAGUGGGGACAGCACCUGUGGAGACAGUGGGGGCACAGAAGAGCCAUCAUGCUCAUUUCCAGGCUGCAUGCAUGAAGAGCUGCACACCGACUCGGUGCAGCAUGAAUUAAAUUCUAAGGCAACUAUGGAUCGACUGGGAUAGCAGAACUCUACCAGUCCCCGCCUUCCAUCAUCACACUGCCUCUCUGUAGAAAGCCACCCUGUCUCAUCCUACAAGCCCAGGGUUGGGCUGGAACUGUGCAGAUAAUGGAGUCUCGAAGCGAGAAGGGAAAUUCCAGGCUCACCCUUGCCUUUGCAGCAGCAGUAUACACAGGGCAAAGGCAAGUCUCAUGCAAGGGGGUAGAAGCCAGUCUGGAGAACUAUGUGGGAGGUGGGGCUGGUGGGAACAUGGGUGCAGCCCUUGAGGUGGGCUCCCUUGGGUGAGAGAAGGCUGGAAAUGGAAGGGCUGGCCCAAGGCCAAUUCUUGUUCCCAUGUCACCCUGUGGAGCCAUCCUGGAGACAAUGAACUAUUCACAGUGACCUGCCUUACCCCAGGGAACCCCUAGUCCCAGGAAGAAUGGUACCAGCCAAGGACACAGAGCCCGAGUCCCUGCUUCCUACCUGGA